UUUUUUUUGUAAUCCAAACUCAAAGUAUGAGUGUAUAAUAGUCGUGGAUUACUUAAUGAUUUGAGUAAGUUAUUUUCUUAAAUUGAUAUUUAUAUUCUCCUAAAUUA
rnacentral:sRNA from 1 species